rnacentral:rRNA from 1 species
AUUGAACGCUGGCGGCAUGCCUUACACAUGCAAGUCGAACGGUAACAGGUCUUUCGGGAUGCUGACGAGUGGCGAACGGGUGAGUAAUACAUCGGAACGUGCCUAGUAGUGGGGGAUAACUACUCGAAAGAGUGGCUAAUACCGCAUGAGAUCUAUGGAUGAAAGCAGGGGACCUUUGGGCCUUGUGCUACUAGAGCGGCCGAUGGCAGAUUAGGUAGUUGGUGGGAUAAAAGCUUACCAAGCCUACGAUCUGUAGCUGGUCUGAGAGGACGAUCAGCCACACUGGGACUGAGACACGGCCCAGACUCCUACGGGAGGCAGCAGUGGGGAAUUUUGGACAAUGGGCGCAAGCCUGAUCCAGCAAUGCCGCGUGCAGGAUGAAGGCCUUCGGGUUGUAAACUGCUUUUGUACGGAACGAAAAGUCUUGGGUUAAUACCCUGGGAUCAUGACGGUACCGUAAGAAUAAGCACCGGCUAACUACGUGC